rnacentral:rRNA from 1 species
GAUGAACGCUGGCGUCGUUCCUAACACAUGCAAGUCGAGCUAACCACUUAUUUUGUUUUCUUCUGUAUGACGAAGUUUGUGACUCAGCGGCUGACGUGUGAGUCACUCUUGGGCAACCUGCUCUUUACAGGGGGAUAACAGUUAGCCAUGACUGCUAAUAUCUCAUCAGCCAACAUCUUCUCAUGAAGCAGUGGGAAAAACUCCGGUGGUACAGGAUGGUCCCGCGUCUGAUUAGCUAGUUGGUAAGGUAACGGCUUACCAAGGCGACGAUCAGUAGCCGACCUGAGAGGGUGACCGGCGACAAGGGGACUGAGACACGACCCAAACUCCUACGGGAGGAAGCAGUGGGGAAUAUUGCACAAUGGGGGAAACACUGAUGCAGCGACGCCGCGUGAGCGAUGAAGUAUUUCGGUAUGUAAAGCUCUAUCAGCAGGGAAGAAAGUGAAGGUACCUGACUAAGAAGCCCCGGCUAACUACGUG